UGUGUGUGUGUGUGUGUGUUGGCGGAAGGCGGUGCCUCUGCCUUGCUACCAGCUGGUGUCUUGCUUCAGUUACAGGGAUGUGACAGCAGGUUAGAUGUGAGCUCCUUCAAAUUUCUGUGCACAUUCCUAGUUUCGAGCUUGAAAACUACAGUACUUCCGGUAACAUUUUUCUUUUUCUGCUUAUAGACAGUUUCUCUAAGAUACUAUGCAAUAAGAACUUGCUGAGUUCCUGUCUACAUCCACCAUGGGGUGAAGGUGCCUCUAUGGAGAUGGAGGAGGUUUAUGGAUCUGUGGGGGUGCUCGUUGGGAACCCUAGGCUGAAGGAUGUGCUCAGCGCCAUCACAAGCACAGAGGAGAGAGCGGAAGGGGAGAGGAACCCGCUUAAGGGAGUAGGAGUGGGUACUGAAAACCAUCUCGAGGAUAACCAAAGGCUGCUGGAGCAGAAUCAUCGUGAGCUCGUUCUUGUGGAUAAACAUGUUGAUUUCUGGGAAUAAAUCACAUAUGUCUGGUCUACUCA